UGGGGAAUAUUGGACAAUGGGCGUAAGCCUGAUCCAGCCAUGCCGCGUGAGUGAUGAAGGCCCUAGGGUUGUAAAGCUCUUUUGUGCGGGAAGAUAAUGACUGUACCGCAAGAAUAAGCCCCGGCUAACUUCGUGCCAGCAGCCGCGGUAAUACGAAGGGGGCUAGCGUUGCUCGGAAUCACUGGGCGUAAAGGGUGCGUAGGCGGGUCUUUAAGUCAGGGGUGAAAUCCUGGAGCUCAACUCCAGAACUGUCUUUGAUACUGAGGAUCUUGAGUUCGGGAGAGGUGAGUGGAACUGCGAGUGUAGAGGUGAAAUUCGUAGAUAUUCGCAAGAACACCAGUGGCGAAGGCGGCUCACUGGCCCGAUACUGACGCUGAGGCACGAAAGCGUGGGGAGCAAACA
rnacentral:rRNA from 1 species